UUUAUGUUACUAACUGAGAGUGGGGAGUAUGACUUACUAAAUAAAAGUCAUGUAUCGCUAUCUGAAUACCUAUGAACUGAGUGUAGAGACUUAAAGGUCAUAAAGGAAUGGUGAUUUUCAAAAUGUUCUUAUAACUAGUUCCAAAGACACUUUCGUGAAAUUUUGGGAUCUUGAUUCACAGCAUUGUUUUCUUACCUUGGUUGGUCAUAAAACAGA